AUGAGGGAGGGUGGCAGGAGUGGCCAUGCCCUUGAUGAUCGAAGACCCCCCUCAGAGUGCCUCUGUGUACAGGGGUCUCCUGGGGGCCCCCUUUCGCAUCUGCGGGUGGUAGGGGUUCUGCUGUCUCGAGCCCGCCUGCACCCUCUGUGUUUCCAGAUACCCUUCCCCACCUCUGUAAGCAGCCCCUUUAUCAAACCGUUGCUGAGUUCUCCGAGUUCACGGACAGCAUCUGGUUCCUGCGGGGGUACUGUCUGGUCCUCCCUGGGUCCUGUAGUCCCUGAGCUGGACGCUCGGGUCUCUAACCAUCCUGUGCCUGCACUUCCUGCUUUGCACCCACGGAUGGCCAAGUAUGCGCUCAGUCUCCAACUUGUGUCUUCUCACACAAUCUUGUCUUCUCAUAGGUCCUCAAGCAUGUUCCCCGCCAACCUCCACGCUCAGCUUUGGAGUGCAGGGCUGCAGCUCCAGCUACUGAGGGAGUCACCCUGCCCUCUUCUCAGCUGCAUUUAUUUCCAAAGGGACCGUUCACACCAGCAUGCUUCCAUCUUCUGCAACUGGCCGCGGAACUCCCUGCAGGCCGAAUGCCACUGUCUGCACGUAAGCUGUGAGCCUUCGCCGCUCCCGCACAGAAACCGACAAAGCCACUGCUGCCCGGACACGACGCCCACUGGCCUUCUCCUUCCUAAGACGUCCGUCCUCUGGGCUUCCGUAACACGACGCCCUCCUGCCCGACGUGGCAGCUUUGCCUGCAUCCGUCCCUCUCCCUCGUGGGUCUCUUUCUCCGUGUGACCCAGGAGGGCCAGCAGCUCCUAGGUUUUCACAGGAGAGAACUGCUUGUUCCACCCAUUCCUGGCGUCUGAGCCAACACCCCUGGGCCCUCGCGUCCUCCCAGACUUCAGAUAGGUCUGCCCAGCUUCCUGCUCACCACCACCCAGUGUGACUGUUGGGGUCGAAGCAGGUUGCUCCUCUGGAGCCAUCGGUGGCAGCGGCCCACGGCUGUUCUCUGUGCCAUGCAACCCAGCACCACCUGUUUCCUGGGACUUCUCUCUGACCCUUCCAGCCAACCAGAGCAAGGCACUGAGCUCGCCUGGAAGGAGGUCAUCAAACUGGCCACUGCUCUACCAUCGCUGCCACAGGCCAUCGUCUGCUGCAGGCCCGGCUGUCUCCCACCUAAACCCCUGCCCGGCCACUCUCCUUCCGUCCACCUUUUCCCAACCCAAAUGCAGCGCCUUGGCCACCACCAUGACCUGUCCUCCUGUACGCAGGUGCUGUGUGUGCACCCUACCCUCUGCUGCUGCCAAGACCUUAACACCCUGCGUGGACAGGUGACAGCAGACAGGCGGUGUGUGCCCACUAAGAGAACUUUCUCAGAUCUACAACUAGCAAGUCAGAAAUAGAGAACAGCGGAUUGUUUUUGUGAGAUUAUGAGAAGUUCUCCAAAAGAAGGCAGCGGAAAGAAGAAAAACACGGGAAAUGAAUAGUUGCGACAAAUAGAAAACGACUGGCAAGAUGACAGAUUUAAGCCCAUUCCACAGUAAUUACAAUGAAUGUGAAAGACAUAAUUAAAAAAGAGAGGUUGCUAUACUGGAUUUAAUAAACAGCAAGAUGAGGGCA
ensembl:lncRNA